UACGUAGGGUGCAAGCGUUGUCCGGAAUUAUUGGGCGUAAAGAGCUCGUAGGCGGUCCGUCGCGUCGAAUGUGAAAACCCGGGGCUCAACCCCGGGCCUGCAUUCGAUACGGGCGGACUAGAGUUCGGUAGGGGAGACUGGAAUUCCUGGUGUAGCGGUGAAAUGCGCAGAUAUCAGGAGGAACACCGGUGGCGAAGGCGGGUCUCUGGCCUGUUCUUGACGCUGAGGCGCGAAAGCUAGGGGAGCAAACGGG
rnacentral:rRNA from 1 species